GGGUAGUAUGCAGAAUUUAACCUGAUAUAGGUCACGAAGUUCUUUGAGCAGUAGGCCCACACCCAGCCCACACUCUGACUCCAAUCUAUUUGCUUUGCAGGGAGACAGAGGAAGGAGUCCACAGAGGCAUCACCAAGUUUCCUGGGAAACAGUAGGUCACACAUCUCCUGGAGCUGCUUCUAGAAGACCUGACCCAGAUGGGUAGAGCUCACAUUACUGAAGACUCAUAAAGAAGCAAGAAAGAAGAUUUACCAGAUAAAGGCCAGGCCACAUUAUGGAUGCCCACGGAAUCUCACCCACGUGUGUGGAGGCACCACCCCAAUUUGCACACAAGAGUCAUCUGCUUACUUAGCAUCUGGAGCAGGUUGGUCGGGACCAACCUCAUCUGAAGAGCUUCUGGUCAUCUUGAACUUAACUCGUCCCUCAACUGCCUGAAGGAAGGCAGAGACCU
rnacentral:lncRNA from 1 species